UAGGGAAUCUUCCGCAAUGGACGAAAGUCUGACGGAGCAACGCCGCGUGAGUGAAGAAGGAUUUCGGUUCGUAAAACUCUGUUGUUAGGGAAGAAAAAAUGUAUAGUAACUAUAUACAAAAGAGACGGUACCUAACCAGAAAGCCACGGCUAACUACGUGCCAGCAGCCGCGGUAAUACGUAGGUGGCAAGCGUUGUCCGGAAUUAUUGGGCGUAAAGCGCGCGCAGGUGGUUUAGAAAGUCUGAUGUGAAAGCCCACGGCUCAACCGUGGAGGGUCAUUGGAAACUAAUAAACUUGAGUGCAGGAGAGAAAAGUGGAAUUCCUAGUGUAGCGGUGAAAUGCGUAGAGAUUAGGAGGAACACCGGUGGCGAAAGUGGCUUUUUGGCCUGCAACUGACACUGAGGCGCGAAAGCGUGGGGAGCAAACAGG
rnacentral:rRNA from 1 species